rnacentral:rRNA from 1 species
GUGCCAGCCGCCGCGGUAAUACGGAGGGGACUAGCGUUGUUCGGAAUUACUGGGCGUAAAGCGCGCGUAGGCGGAUUAGCAAGUUGGGGGUGAAAUCCCGGGGCUCAACCCCGGAACUGCCUUCAAAACUGCUAGUCUAGAGUUCGAGAGAGGUGAGUGGAAUUGUGAGUGUAGAGGUGAAAUUCGUAGAUAUUCACAGGAACACCAGUGGCGAAGGCGGCUCACUGGCUCGAUACUGACGCUGAGGUGCGAAAGUGUGGGGAGCAAACAGGAUUAGAUACCCGGGUAGUCC